rnacentral:tRNA from 1 species
GUUUUAAUAAUUUAAUAAAAAUAUUGAUUUUGUAAAUCAAAAAUAAUCUUGUAUUUUAAAACU